rnacentral:piRNA from 1 species
UAAAACAUUAAAACUUUGCAA